rnacentral:rRNA from 1 species
UACAGAGGUGGCUAGCGUUGUUCGGAAUUACUGGGCGUAAAGGGAGCGCAGGCGGCUAAAUUAGUCUGAAGUGCAAGCCCGGGGCUCAACCCCGGAAUUGCUUUGGAUACUGUUUGGCUUGAGUACGUCAGAGUUGAGCGGAAUUCCAGGUGUAGCGGUGAAAUGCGUAGAUAUCUGGAGGAACACCGGUGGCGAAGGCGGGUCUCUGGGCCGAUACUGACGCUGAGGAGCGAAAGCGUGGGGAGCGAACAGG